CAUGCUUAUUUGUUUUGCUUGGUCAGUGUGUUCACCCUGUUGGAGUAUGGCAGUGUGAAUUGGCUUUUAGGUGCUUUGGAAAACAAAACAAAAAACAGUAAAAGAAAUAUAUAUUUGUUUAAUGUUCACGCAACACAAAAUUCUUAAAUAAGGUAGUUUCUCUAUUUUUGCAAUAUUCAAGUGUUCAUGUCCCUGAAUAAUAUCUGUAUGAACCCAAGUCUGAAGAGUACACAUAAUACCUAGUAGACAGCAAUCCUUGUGAGUGAGAAGUCUGGUGUGGAGGCUGGAUCUGGAACCGACUUCUGUCCAGGCUAUCCGUCUUCACGAACUGCCAUGAAAUACAAUUCAAACAAACAAUGUAGUGUGAGGCUCUUACAUUCACAAUGCUCAUUUUGGCCUCGGUGGUGAAGUGUGCAGAAAAUUCUGCUGGACUGAAAUUUUGUCUUUGGUGAACAGUCUUCAAGAGUGCAAAUAAUAUUUUAAGUAUCUUUCAGGCUCGCGUGAGGUUUCCACGAGCAACAAAGUCUGCUUGAACAAAAACUUCAUUACAUUUAAAGUUUAGAAAAUAAUAUACAUACAGACCGUCAUCUACACAUAAAAGGUGCUUAAAAACUCAAACGUUCAUUAAUAAGAGCUCAAAUCUAUAAGUUAGCUUACCUCUAAUUUUUAGCCUCUGAUGCUAAUGGUCUUUUUGAAGACACUAAACCACUCCUCUAAAGCAGUGGUGUUCCAUCCAUAUAAGCUGCAAAUGCGCCGCAUACCCAGGCCAUCUGAGAGAAUUAGUUCACGGGCUAAUGAAUAUAAACAUGAUUAUAAGUUGAUCUCUUGUCAUUUGAGAUGUGACUUAAAGCUUAAUAAAGUGUUGGGAAUAAGUAUGUAAAAUUAUUUAUUUGAAAACAAUGGUCAUUUUCUGUAAAUCUACGUCAGUGAGACAGUGACGGAAGUAUGGAAGCAGAAUAAUGACAAUAGUUUUUGAAACAUAAAGCAUGCUGAAUUCCACAAAUCGAAAAAAAAGAUUGCAUUUUAAUGCCUUGUAUUUCCAGGGCUUGCAUUUUUAGGUCCUGAAAUUUAACGUUGUUUAUUUAAGCUGUGAAUAUUUCAAUUCAAAAUAUUUCACACACAUUUUCAUAAUUAAAAAUUCAAUAAUUCAUAUUCACCUUCCAGAAUUCACUUCCAAAAUAUUCAAUCUGUUUAAAAAUACGAUGUAUAAUAUUCGACAGGCAAAUUUCAGUCAUUUUAUUUCACUUUCCAAAUUCGCUGCCAAUUUAGUGGUUAAAAUUCGGCAGAAAAUUCAGCGUUGCACAUCCGGGAACCGCAGGAAUAGCAGUAGAGCACCGAUGCAUGAUCUCCAGCUGAUGUCAGCCGCUCACCAGCAGGUGGCGCACGCGGCUGUUGAUGAAGCAGGCCAUAUGUGGAUCAAGUCACUCAUUUACAAAAACUGAUUUGCAGAAAUGGAGCUAUCGCUAGAAGUUUUGAUUAUCGGGGCCAGUAUAAAAGUGUGGAAAGGCUGAUUGUGUGUAUGUUUAAUUAAACAUUUUUGCUGUUUCCCGUAGCCUACAUAUAAGCAGCUUUCUCUACCACAAAGGAGAUUAUAAUGCUCUUUUACCCAACGCUGAAGUACAGAACUAACAUUACAUCUGGGGAAGACAUAUAUUGCUUUCGGUUGUUUAGUUUCUGUAACUCUGUAUCAUGGCUUGUGUGACGCUGUGCUGUAAUACUGGGGUUCCCCUCAUACAUCACACUCCAGGAUUCCCCAACAACACAUAACUCACCACAGUGAACUAAUACAGUGAUAUAAGACCUCAGAUCUCAGAAUACACUUUAUUGAUGAUUAUGCAAACUAUAUCGACAGUUAAGCAGAUGUAGAAUAUGAACAAACGUGCAAGGUUUCACGCUUUUUCCCUCAAACAGUUAAAGAAAACACAUUACGCGGCUCAGUAGUGCACUAACUCAAUAACAGCUAUUAGACUUGUUUGGGGAUUUUCCGUGUUCCAAAAGUUGUAGUACAUUCCUUGUGACUAGACUCACUUACUAUAGGUGAAAUUUUGCUAAUACCUCCCUUAAUGUAAAUAAAGUACAUCAAUAUUUUAUACUACAACCUUUGUAAAAUGAACAAUUCCUUUUGAGGUCUUACAGAUUUUUUUGUUUUUGUUUUAAAAAUGAAAAAAGUGAAUUGUACAUACACUGUUAAAAAUAAGUGUAAUUUUACAGGUAAUGGUCUGUAUUUUUUUACAGAAUUUUCCUGUUAUUUCAUUAUACAAUAUAAUAACUGUGGUUUUACAGAUAUUUGCUGUAUUUUAAAGUUCUACCAUUAUAUUUACAGAUAAUUGCUUGUAUUUUGGUAUUACAACAAUUUUCCGCUUUUACAGGACAUUUUCUGUAUUUUUACAGAUUAAUGUGUAAUUGUACAUAAAAUGUUAUAUAACAUUUAUAGAUUUAUAGAUCAGCAGUCAUGUGUACUGUCCAAUUAUUUCGACAAAAUUUUAUUUUGAUGCUUUGGAAACAUUUGAUUUAUUUAAAGUUUCAUGCCAAAAAGUAUAGUAUUGCAGCAGCAUCUGGGCAUUCUUUAUUAUAAAUCACUGCAUUCUCAAAAAAUGAAUAGUGAGGUUACAGUGUACCCUUGCCUAUUUACUUGAAAUCAUUUAUACUAUAUUUAAAGAAAUGCUAAAUAAAUUAUGGAAUAUCUGUUCUAAACAGUAGUAUAAUGUUGCCUAUUCAAAUAAAGAUUUGUGCAUUUUAACAAAUACCAGCAAAUAUUUACACAGCAUAAUUGAAACAGCUUUUAUUCAACAAAAUUUAUUCAGAGGCAUAUGUAUUUGUUUCAUAGACUGUAUGAAAACAGAUUUGUUUAUGUGUGUGUGUGCGCACAAGUGAUGACGCAGUUUCAAAUCGGCCGCCAAAACUUUUCCGUUUAGUCCCGCCCACGGUGCAGGCUGCAGAGCUGCUCUCUACUCAUCGACAGUAAUGGAAGGGCGAGCGGAUGAUUUGAAUUAAUUGCAGGCUAUCCAUUAGGAGCUGUGUGAGAAAAUAUCGCGCUCUUUCAUUGAGCCUGUUUUUCGAUAACAACAGCAAAUUUUGAUGAUACCACAGGGGACAUCAUGCCAACCGAUCACCGACUGAGGUAAGUCUUUCAUACUACAAAUACUUAAUAUGCAGCACGCAUCUUUCAAAUUUGUUUUCCAUUUGUUUUAAUACCAGAAAGAUCAGCUGACCUCAAAACAAGCUUUAGUAAACUUAUUCAUAUUAAAGUCCAUUCAAGUGCACGAAUUCUUUGCUCAUAUGGCAUAACUUACCCGCCAAGUUUUGAAACUGUUAAAUGGCGGGACUUUUUGAAACGCUGAACGUGGCUAAUGUCUGAUGGUAAAUUGUCAUUACAUAUUGGCUCGUUAGUAGUUAUAAAAAUUGCACCUAUCCAGAUGAAUGGACAGUUACGCCCCUAUGUAGUAAUAUGAUGCAGCUAAAUCAAAGUAAAUGAUAUAAAUUUCUGUAAAUGUUUAUAUAAAUUUAGCUAAAAUCACAUGGUAGACCAAGACAUCACUGUUAGCCUUUACUUCUCCGCUUCCAGACUAUUGUCUCAGUGGAAUAUAUACUGUAAUGUGUGAAUGUAAUGCAAAGUAUUUGAAUUUUUUAUUUUUUUUUAUUUUUAAAUUGUGGUUUCAGGUAGUGUGGAAAGACUGGAGAUCUACAGCAGAUGAGCAUGGCAAUCCAGCUGGAUGUUCCGAUGGUUGCUGCUUGCAUCUCAGUCUUCUGGAUGGAAAUUUCUUACUGGAUGAUGAAUGACCUUCAACUCAACCAUGUCAAACUGCUCAUGUUUCCAGCCAACCCAACCUUGGUGUUAUAAGUGACAUGUAUAAACUUCACCAACCACAUUGCACUGCCUGAUCCUGAGGAUAUGCCUUGUACAACAUUAGGAAGAUCAGGCCCUUCCUUUUGGAGCAUGCUACACAACUCCUUGUCCAAGCUUUUGUUCUGUCCAGACUGGACUGUUGUAAUGCAAGAGUGAUCUUUAACUAGCCGAAUAGAGCACACGUCACACCUCUUACCUCUCUUCAUCAUCAGUUUGCACUGGCUGCCAAUUGCUGGUCACAUCAAAUUGAAGGCACUGAUGUUUGUCUGCAGAACAACCACAGGCUCUGCACCCCUAUACAUAAACUCACUACUUCAGACCUGUGUCCUCCAGAAGCUUGUGUUCUGCAAGUGAAUCACACCUUGUGGUGCCAUUCCAUAGAGGCACAAAAUCACUUUCAUAGACCUUUACUUCGACUGUUCCCUGCUGUUGAAAUGAACGUAAAUCCACCCAUUUUCAAGAAAUGGCUAAAAAUGCAUCCUUUCAUGAACACUUGACCCAUUAAUACUAACUUUGUUUAUUUAAAAAAAAAAAAAAAAACUGUGCUAGACUAACUGGGACUUUGUAUGUUGCAUUGGAUAAAAUCUAAAUGUAUAAAGUUAUACAGCAAUUUCCUUUUAAUGUAGGUAUUUUUGAAUGUUUUAAAUGUAUUAAGUAUGUAUUUUCUAUUAUCUUAUUAUUCAUGUAACUUGACAUAAAUGUGCAGGUUCCUUUAAAAUUAUGCAAAAGUACAGAAUAGAUUAAUUUUACAGAAAUUGGCUGUAAAUGUUGCUGUUUUUAUGUAUUUGUAAGUACUAUGCUUGUUUCUUUGUCCAACAAACAUUUUAAACUAUAAUAUAAAUGGAAAAUGAACGAUUAAAAUGUAUAUCUACA